AUUGAACGCUGGCGGCAGGCCUAACACAUGCAAGUCGAGCGGAGCGGCGGACGGGUGAGUAAUGCCUAGGAAUCUGCCUGGUAGUGGGGGAUAACGUCCGGAAACGGGCGCUCAUACCGCAUACUAUCAGAUGAGCCUAGGUCGGAUUAGCUAGUUGGUGAGGUAAAGGCCUACCAAGGCGACGAUCCGUAACUGGUCUGAGAUGAUGAUCAAUCACACUGGAACGGAGACACGGUCCAGACUCCUACGGCAGGCAGCAGUGGGGAAUAUUGGACAAUGGGCGAAAGCCGGAUCCAGCCAUGCCGCGUGUGUGAAGAAGGUCUUCGGAUUGUAAAGCACUUUAAGUUGGGAGGCGGUACCAACAGAAUAAGCACCGGCGAACUUCGUGCCAGCAGCCGCGGUAAUUC
rnacentral:rRNA from 1 species